CACACACUCACAGACACACACUCACACUCACAGAAACACACACACACUCACAGACACACACACUCACACACACAUACUCACACACUCACAGACACACACACACACACUCACUGACACACACACUCACAGACACAUACUCACACACUCACAGACACACACAGACACACACUCACAGACUCACACACACAUACUCACACACUCACAGACACACACUGACACA